ACCUGCCCACUGAAAUUUUUGAAUGGCCGCAGUAAUUUGACUGUGCAAAGGUAGCAUAAUCAUUAGUUUUUUAAUUAAAAGCUUGUAUGAAUGGUUGGACGAGGUAAAUUCUGUCUUUAUUUAAAUAAUAUUAGAAUUUAAUUUUUAAGUUAAAAAGCUUAAAUAAAUAUAAAAGACGAGAAGACCCUAUAGAUCUUUAUAUUAUUAUUUUAUAAUUUUAAUAAAGAAUUUUUAAUUUUUUAUAUUUUAUAAUAUUUUAUUGGGGUAAUAAAAAGAUUUAAUAAAUUCUUUUUUAUAUUUUACAUUAAUUUAUGAAUGUAUGAUCCAAAAUUUUUGAUUAUAAGAUUAAGUUACCUUAGGGAUAACAGCGUAAUUUUUUUAGAGAGUUCAUAUCGAUAAAAAAGUUUGCGACCUCGAUGUUGGAUUAAAAAUUGUUUUAGGCGUAGAAGUUUAAAAAUUUGGUCUGUUCGACCAUUAAAUUUUU
rnacentral:rRNA from 1 species